AAAAAAGUGGGGAGACAGAUGACCAUCUACUACUAUGAGGUAGCCACGACUCUAUGGAAUGAUUUCUACACUAGAAUUAAUCUAGCAUGGGUGAUGCCAAGAAGCUUCGUUGACUUUCUAGAAACUUGGAGAGGUCUACGGGGCAACCCACAUAUUGCAGCAAUGUGGAAGAUGAUGCCCGUUUCAUGUUUGCCUGUGAUGGUGUCUUUGUAGAAAGAAGUUUUGAAGACUGCAUGCAGACCAUGGAUGAUUCGAGUUUUCUUUUUCAAUACUUUAUUCCAACGGUCAAUUGUAAUAGAACUCAAUGGAUUGAGUGUCCAUGACUUUCUUGGAUCAAUUGUUAAUCAUGCUUGGGUGUCUCUUGUAUAUGACCCGUGUACAUGGGCUAUGCCUAUUGCAAUCAAUAAAGCUUCUUGCUUGCCUAUCAAAAUAAAAUAACAAAAAACUGAAUUCAAAAUAUUUUGAUUUCUAAAUAGGUGGAUUUUUAUUUUUAUUUUUCUUUCAACUGGAAAUUUCCUAGUGAAAAAAAUGGUACUUAAUAAUAUAUUUUAAUUUUGGAUUAUCUCAUGAUUGCCUUAUGUAACCCUUUUAUAAACUUCUUGUUCUAUGUUUCAAGUUAUAGUAAUCUGCGGUUUCCUUCUGCUGAUGAUGUCUUCAAUCUGGUUGAGAUUGAUUGAUUGUAUGUUUUUCAAUCUUGUUUGUGCUUUUUACAAGCUUGUUACUGUAGAACGUGAGUAUUAGUAUAGGGGCAAAACAUUAUGGUACUCCACUUCUGUAGCAUGUUAGAUAUGAUGACAUUAACUGAAAUUUUUUAUUCUGAAUCCAUUUCUGCUGGGGAUGGUGUUUGAUCUUGAGAAGGGGUCAACCCUGUAUGUUGAUCUGGCAAAAUCUAAUUCUAGAUCCUAGCGCAUGAGAACAAGUCAAUUGCUCAUUGGAUUGAUUAUCUGUAUUGAAUUACUCCACAGUUUUCAUUGUUUCGAAAAUGAAUUGUGGAUAUCUUGGAUAUGGCAAUCAGAUGAUGGAAGAUUUGGCUCAGAUAAAAAAGCUAGAGGAUUUACAUUUUCAAGGAGCACUUCUAAUUCUGGUAAUACUAUUGACUGAAUUGCUUACAGAUUAUGGAGUGCUUCCUAUGGUGUUCCUUAUUUGCCAAUUCUUCUCCUAGUUCCUGGCAUAUUAAAGCCACUCUCUCUCUCUCUCUCUCUCUCUCUCUCUCGCUCUCUCUCAAAGAGAAUGAAGUGCUAACUUGUCAGUUGUGGUUUUUGACAUCAUACUUGGAGUGCAAAUUAAUUGCUUAGUCACAUGGACACAGUCUAAAAGCUCACAUUGCACACGUUUUACACACUUGGGCACUAGCAGGUCUUGGCAGCAUUCACAUGCCUGGAAUGGGUAAUUCUGGUUACAACACGAUUGGUUAUCCAUCUGCAUAAAGAAUAGUCCUCCAGUGCCCAAUGUUCGAAAAAUGUUACCCCAUGUUCAACACUUUUUGUGGCUAAUUUGUGACCAACUUGUACAGAGCAAGAGCUAGUUCAAGUAUUUUCAAGAUGCUUGGGGUUUCUAGAAUUGAAGAUUCAGAACACAUGGGGCUCCAGUUGCCUUUGUUGAUUUCCAGGUACUU